CUAAAGAAAACACCCAGACUACAUCUUCGACUUUACUAUUGUUGCUGAUGCUAGUCUGGUACUGUCUUACGUGCAGAAUCGCACAAACAUUCGAGUUUCGACUGGGGAAAAUGGGGUCCAAAUUUGCCAACGUUUUCUGCAGAAAUGGGUCGUAUCUGCGCCCAUUCGUGGCUCUCAAGAUGCAGACGAGACCAUGCACCAUGGCCGUGCUCGCUGACGUCCAGAAGAAGAUUGACCAGAAAAGACAAAAAGCCAUGGAAGGAGGCGGACCGAAACGGAUAGAAGCCCAACACAAACGGGGUAAGUUGACGGCCCGUGAGCGCGUCAAUCUGCUGUUGGAUCCAGGCUCCUUCGUUGAGUUUGACAUGUUUGCAGAGCACAGCUGUACUGACUUUGGAAUGGAUGAAGAAAGCAAACAGUUUCCAGGUGACGGUGUCAUCACUGGACACGGUUUAAUCAACGGACGCGUUGCCUACUUGUUCAGCCAGGAUUUCACCGUGCACGGUGGUAGUCUGUCCAGCGCUAACGCCCGUAAGAUCUGUAAGAUCAUGGAUCAAGCAAUGGAGAUUGGGGCACCUGUGAUCGGAUUGAACGAUUCGGGCGGGGCUCGGAUCCAAGAAGGGGUGGAUUCACUGGCUGGAUAUGCGGACAUCUUCCAGAGAAACGUCAUGGCAUCUGGAGUCGUCCCCCAAAUCUCACUCAUCAUGGGGCCGUGUGCAGGUGGUGCUGUGUACUCCCCAGCCCUGACUGACUUUACCUUCAUGGUCAAGGACACAUCAUUUCUCUUCAUCACCGGACCUGACGUAGUCAAGGCUGUGACCCAGGAGGAUGUGACAUAUGAGGAACUAGGAGGAGCCAAGACUCAUACAACUAUAUCUGGCGUCGCUCACGGAGCCUUUGAGAAUGACAUCGAUGCGUUGGCUAAACUGCGUGAUCUCUACAACUACCUCCCACUCAGUAAUCAAGACCCCGCCCCUCUUAGGGCAUGUGAUGACCCAGGUGACAGACUGGUUCCUGUUUUGGACACCAUUGUACCCCCAGAAUCUAACAAACCCUACGACAUUUUGGACGUCAUUCGAGCUAUCGUGGACAAUCGUGACUUCUUCGAGAUUAUGCCAGCUUACGCUAAGAACAUGGUGAUUGGUUUUGCCAGAGUCGGCGGUCGGACCGUCGGCAUCGUCGGUAAUCAACCAAAGGUCGCAUCAGGUUGCCUGGACAUCAACGCGUCCGUCAAAGGAGCCCGGUUUGUGCGUUUCUGCGACGCGUUCAACAUCCCUCUCGUCACCUUUGUGGACGUGCCGGGAUUCCUGCCCGGUACCCAUCAGGAAUAUGGCGGUAUCAUCAGACACGGAGCUAAACUUCUGUAUGCAUUCGCUGAGGCUACUGUCCCAAAGAUAACUAUCAUCACUAGAAAGGCCUAUGGCGGUGCGUAUGACGUAAUGAGUUCCAAGCAUCUGCGAGGUGAUACUAACUAUGCCUGGCCUACUGCUGAGGUAGCUGUCAUGGGCGCGGCGGGAGCAGUGAAGAUCAUUUUCCGAGGUCAGAAAGAUGUCGUGGAGAGGGAACGGGAAUACGUUGAGAAGUUUGCAAAUCCCUUCCCUGCAGCUGUCAGAGGUUUUGUGGAUGACAUCAUCCAGCCCAGCACGACCAGACGGAGGAUUUGCCGGGACUUGAACCUCCUCGCAACCAAAAAGAAGAGCAAUCCUUACAAGAAGCAUGCCAACAUCCCUCUGUGAGAGGGUUACCUUAAGAAGGGACUCGCUGCCGCAAACGACAGAUCAAGCAUGUUGAAUUGCAGCCACGCUAGAUACAUGUAAUGCAUAUCUUGAACCCCAAAACUUCUCUAGGAAUUGGGAUGAAAAUAGAACCCCAUGGCUUUUUUGGGGUAAGAAAUUUGAAGUUGGAGUAUUUGGUUUAAGAUAUUGUGUCAACUUUAUUAUCACAUGAUCGGAUCUCCUGGUCGUUUUUUUGUUAGUCAAAGUGAAAAAACCUCAAAUUACAAUAAUAUAAGAAUGAAGUAUUUUAUAAAGAAGCAGUAUUUUUUGCGAUUCUCAUGGCAAUAUAUUGUCUGCUACUUAAUAGGUAGAUGGCAGAUAAAAUACUCUUGGAUUUUGCUUCAGAAAAUUAGGUAUCCUGCAAAAUUUAUUUUGUGAAAGAUGCAGCAUGAUCGUCAUGAUACCCACGUCUGUAAACAAUGUCCAUGAAAUAUUAAAUAUAUAUGUUUUAAAACUGA
rnacentral:misc_RNA from 1 species